UGCCCUCCAGCCUGUCGCAGGCUGCACAGUGGGGCGCCUCCUCCUCUCGCUUUUGGACUCCAGCCAGGCAGAUUGGGGCUUCAGCCUUGUUCUCCACUACAGCAGAGAACAGCCUGAGGGCUACUGUUGGGCUCCUGGAGUCUCCCACCUGACUGCCAGAGUCCCCACUGCCUCUCCAUGAUCUCACAAGGCAGCAGUGUAAAAGGCUGCCAUGCUUUAAUACCCCCCAGCCUGGAGAGGGGGUCCCAUAUCCCUGACCACCCCUCUUUAGUAUGCCUACUUAGCAAAAUGUGGCUUCUUUCUCACUUUCUCUAUUGUAAUUUGACUCCCAGUACAGAGCAGGAGUUAGGACCCUCCAGGACUUGUGGGAGUCCUUUUGAAAGAAUGGCCCCCACGAACUCAAUUACACAGUGACUGGAGACACCUGUGGUCCUCAGGCAGCGGGCCUCUCCUUUUCUCUGCCUUUGCUCUCCGCGCCUUAGAAGUACCCUAUGGACCUCUGUGUUUGGCAUCGCAGAUCUCCCCAGAACCCUUUCAGUCAGACAGGGAUGGCACAGAAGUUGGAGCAAGGAAUGAGAAUCAUCCUCUGUGGGCAAGGUUGGCUUGGGAAUCACUCAUCCCAUGCCGCUUGACACUCUCGGGGACCAAAUGCACGAAGCAUGACAGACCUAGCUAGAUCCUCGUGGACAGGCUGGGCAGGCAUUUCGUGGUUGUGACCUCAACCUUUGUUCUUUCUAGAUGACAGGACUAACCACUGACCUUCAAAAGACUGCUUCUAGAAGGUUCCUAUUUUCCUGUCCUUCCAUCCAAAGAACCCACAAGCCAUUUUUCUCCCCCAAAUCAUUUUCUAAGGAGUCCAAAACACAACACCGCCUCAAGAGCUAUUCCACAUUCUCUGUCAGCCCGGAACUGCCUUAGACCUUUGCAUGUUCCCUGACAGCAGCCUGCCUACCUGAGUUGCAAGCCAGCCAGCAUGAACAGAUCCAGUUGGAUUAGUUCAGUCAAUAAGGGUGUUGUCAUACUCCUCCCAAUGUCCACAGAGUCCACAAUGAUUAAAUAAAGGCAAGCCAGGAAGCACACCAAGGACAGAGGUGGACACGUGCCAGCCAACACAGGAAUACAGGGCCUGUAUCUGUUCAUCUCAAGCAUCCAGUGGCUGUUUGUGAGGCGCUUGGUAACACGCCUCUGGGAGCACCGGGUGAGUGUGCACUGACCAGUUUUUCUUUAAUUUUUGCAUGUGUCUGUUUGUGUGUUGUACACGUGCAUACAGAUGCUUGAAUGUGUGUAAGUCCACAUAUGUGUACACGCCUGAGGGGGCAUGACAUCAGGUGUCCUCUUUGAUAAUCUUCCACUUUGUUUAGUAAAGCAGGGCCUCUCAUUAUACCAAGGGCUCACCAAUCCUGCUGGUCUAGCUCUACAGCUUUGCCCUCAUAUCAUCUAUCUCUGCCUUAUGAGUGCUGGGAUUACAGGUGGGUGUGCUUGCCUGUAUCCCAUGGGUUCUGGGACUACAAGUGGGUGUCCAUGCCUGUGUCCCACAGGUGCUAUAACUAUGGAUGUGUUUCUAUACCUGUUUGGUUCACACAUGUGCGUGUAUAUGUGUGUGUGAUUGCAACUCUAGUUCCCACUUUUGUGUGUUGAGUGCUUCAUUUAGAGUCAGCUCCUCAGCCCUAUGCUCAACAUAUUGUUCUAUUCCCAAGGCCUGCCUUUCUAUCUAGCCACCAUUUCUCUCAACAACUAUCAUUCAGACAUGUAGAAAGGACUCUGCAGUAAAAGUCAUCUCACACCUUCCAUGGACCGAUUCCUACUAGAUCUGAUGUAUCUUCAUCGGUGAAUAGCCAAGGAGUCAGGGCACUUUUCUGUCAGUAAGUUUGUCUUCUUCAUACUUCAGUAUGAUGAGUUUUGUAGUUUGAUACAUCUCAUCCUGGAUUCGGCAGAUUAUAAACGUAACCGAGUGACAUAAAGCAGCAAAUGGGGAGAUCACUGGACAACGUGGCAGAUGCCUCCAUUUAUAAAGACAUGAGGUAAAACUCAAACUACAUCUUUGAAGCCCAAACCUCAGCACCCGUGGGCUCUGCCUGCCUUGGCACAUGGGAUUAUUUAUUGAACCCUGAAAUGUCCUCCCACCCCCUUACCUACAGGUAGCCAGAUGAGCAAAGGUGAACGACUGCUAUUUGUAAUAAGUAGACACUCUAACCCAGAAGAACAAAUGGCAGUCCUGCUCCUCUGGAGGACAAGUGCUGUCCUGAGUUCCAUGUUGCUAGAAAUGGAUCAGUGGCUUAUUUCCUUUUUACACCAUGGCUGAGGCAGGAGAUAUCAGGAAGUCAUAACAUCCUACUUUACUACCAGGUUACCUCUAGGGGAAAAGACACCAUUGGCUUUGCUCCCUCUUCAUAUAAUGGAGUAAGCCGUGGAGAUGACAAGAGAUAGACUUAGUUAAAAGGAAUCAGGAUGGAACCUCAGAAGAGGGUAUUUGCUUAGUGUCAACAUCUCUGAAUGUGUUUGGCUGAGGAUGGAAUGGCCAUUUGUAUCUUGGAGAGUCACUGAAGGACCUUCCAUAGUGCAUCUCCAAUGUCCCCCCUUCUUCAUAGCUCUCAAUGGGGCAGUAGCUACUCUUGGCUGCUGCACUGUGAGCACAGCCCUCCUAAGGCAAGGCUGACACCCAUCCUCUUCAUGCAUUCAACUUUAAUCUGAUCCAUGAAACCAUGCUGUAAAGGAAGCCUGACUCCAGGCCCCUUUACAGCGCUACUGUUCAUCUAAUGCCCUGGGUGUGCCAUAGCAUUUUACAGAUGUUUUCAGUACAAAGUACUAAGCUUGCUUCAGUCAUAAUUAUGUGUGAAUGCUCUUGUACUCCCUAGGGAAGAAAAUGGCUGUGGUAUUUAAAAUAUCACUCUCUCAAGGUCUAAGAAACCCAGAAUCAUAUUCCGUAUAUUCUACUUCUUCCCCAAAUCUUCUACUCUUCAUUUUUGUGUGGAAAUAAUUAUUACAAUUGGGAUUUUCUUUUUACAGCAAAGUUAAAGUUGGAUGCUGACAAAGUUUUCAGAAAAUUCUAAAAGCUUCCCAAUGUGUAAAGAAUUUGACUUUUAAUGUGUGAUUUUGGAUAAAGGGUACUCUGUGUAAGAUGGUUGCUUUAUUUGAAUGAAAUGGUCGGGCUGUCAUUUGAAAUAAGUGUGGGAUAUUUUCACAGAAGCUUUUACAACUAUGUCUUAGUUAGGGUGUGAAAAGAAGCCAUGACCAUAUCAACUUCUAUAAGGUAAACAUUUAAUUAUGGCUAUCUUAUUGUUUCAAAGAUUUUUUUCCAUUAUCAUCAUGGCAGAAACAUGGCUGCAUAUCAUGGCUGACAGACAUGGUACAGGAGGAGCUAAGAGUUUUACAUAUUGAUCUGAAGACAGCCAAAGAAGAAAUGAGCCACUAGGCCAAGCUUGAGCUUCUGGGACCUCAAAGCUUGCACCCACAGUGACAUAGUAUCUCCAACAAGGUUACACCCCCUAAUAGUGUCACUUGCUAUGGACCAAGCAUUCAACCCUUUGUAAUAUUCUUUCAGGUUUACUUCUUCCAAAUAGGCUAUGUAUCAAAAAAGAAAUGUUUCUUUAGACAGGAUGGUUUUUUUUUUUGACAUAGGUACAAUCUUCAGACAAAUUCUGUCAAUCACUCAGUAAACAUUUGCUGGAUAAGUGAAUUUGCAGCAAGCAUAAUCUGUCACUACCUUUACUUUUUAGGGUGGAAGGAUGAUUGAUGUGAGCGUACAGAUAUUCCCUGAAACAUCUGAGUGAUUUUAGUAUGUAUGCAUUGAACCAAAUAUUACUUAGUCUUUCAAAAAAAUACUAGAAAAGGUUUUGGGCAGAGGAAGCUAAGAAAACUAACAUGUCUGGUCUUAUUUAUGUAGUUACAUCAAAAUGUUACUCUGACCUGAAUUUAAGAUGGAUAAAGAACUAGGCACGUGGUCUUGAAGACGAUUGUUUGGACAAUAAAUAUGUGAUCAAUAAAGAACAAAGGAAGAGUUCGAAGAGUGGAUUGUGUCUUCACAUUGAGAUAUAGUGCCCCUCACCAAAAAUGAGAUAAAAGGAAGCUUCUGGAAAAUCAUGUCUUAGAAUGUGAAAAGAUCAUCAGGAAGCAUGCAGAAGGGGAUGAGCACUGGCCUCCGUGCAGAUGGCAGGUUCUUCUUGUGCAUCCUGGGAUGAUUUGGAAGCAACUACGCAGCCCACAUUGACCUCAAGCUUUUUCUCCUCUUCCUCUGCCUCACAAAUGCUGGGAUUAUAGGUGUGUGCUCCCAUGCUCAGCUAAAGCAAUUAAUUAAAAGCCAAUGUUGUUAACAAUGUUAAA